GACGAACGCUGGCGGCGUGCUUAACACAUGCAAGUCGAACGGUGAAAGCGGAGCUUGCUCCGCUGGAUCAGUGGCGAACGGGUGAGUAACACGUGGGCGACCUGCCCCUCACUUCGGGAUAACUCCGGGAAACCGGGGCUAAUACCGGAUAUGACCUCCUUGGGCAUCCUUGGAGGUGGAAAGUUUUUCGGUGAGGGAUGGGCCCGCGGCCUAUCAGCUUGUUGGUGAGGUAGUGGCUCACCAAGGCGACGACGGGUAGCCGGCCUGAGAGGGCGACCGGCCACACUGGGACUGAGACACGGGCCGGACACCUACGGGAGGCAGCAGUGGGGAAUAUUGCGCAAUGGGCGAAAGCCUGACGCAGCAACGCCGCGUGCGGGAUGACGGCCUUCGGGUUGUAAACCGCUUUCAGCAGGGAAGAAGCCGCAAGGUGACGGUACCUGCAGAAGAAGCACCGGCUAACUACGUGCCAGCCGCCGCCGUAA
rnacentral:rRNA from 1 species